GUUGUAUGGCUAGCAACGCGCGUGGACUUGCUCUGCGUUGCGUCAAGCGACCGUGCUUCCAUUGUUUGGCGCGCGACGGCUAACUCAGAACUGGCACGGACCAGGGGAAUCCGAAUUUCUGAUUAAAACAAAGCAUUGCGAUGUCCGCUGACCGGUUAUGACGCAAUGUGAUUUCUGCCCGGUGCUCUGAAUGUCAAAGUGACGAAAUUGAACCCGGCGAGGGUAAACGGCGGGAGUAACUAUGACUCUCUUCAACGACAAUUGGAUAUUCUUUCACAUCAUCUCUCUCUUGCCGGUCUUCAAACCAAUCCUGCCAAAAGCACGACCAUUGAUAUUGUCUCCAGCGGUAAAUCCAAAAUCGCUGCCCUAGCCCCAACUAUAUUCUCCAUCAACUCAAUCCCUAUCCCCGCUCUUUCUGUAACUGACAAUUUUAAUUAUCUUGGCAUUCCCUUUAGUUAUAAAGGUCGUAUUUCGCGUGAUUAUUUAUCCAUCCUGCGGGGAUAUACUGACAACGUCACUGCUGCGCCCCUUAAACCAUAUCAAAGAGUGCAUAUCAUUCGCCAGGCAGUCGUCCCUCGUCUCCAACAUGUCCUAAUCUUAGGGGUGGUUCAUAAGAAGACAUUACUCGUCUUAGACCGGCAUAUCCGUUUGUCACUUCGGUCUUGGCUUCGUCUGCCGAAAGAUGCUCCGGUCGCCUACUUUUAUACGCCAAUUCGUGAUGGGGGCCUUGGUAUCCCUCAUCUAUCCUCAAUGAUUCCUUUACAUCGAAGAAAACGCGCUGAAAAACUUCUCUCUUCCUCGAAUCCGUAUAUACGUUGGGCGGCAACUUCUCCCCACUUCGCCCCUUUCCUUCACAUUGCCGACCAUGCACAUGGUCCGGAGUUCGAGCCCACGCCGGCGCACACCUGACAUCUAUGGUCGGCCUGCAAAAAUUUGGGCUACCGAUAUCCAUGCUGAAAAUUCCAUACUUGUAC
rnacentral:ncRNA from 1 species